GUUUGUUUAUGGCUCCUCAGACCGCUGUGUAUUGCUAUCGUGCGGUCGUUACUAAAGUUGGUAUAACUAGAGAAGCAAGGGAUCGGCAACAUUCAUCUCUCUAACUGGGGCUGUCUAACUCUGUGUUACGGUGUGUUUGACCCUAAAUUAAUUUUACGCUGGAAUAUCCCUUUAAAAACAGAGUGUGUUCUCAGCCCUUCCCCUAAAACGGGUCUUACUUUCAGUCCAUCGUCAUGAGGUCAGAUCGAUGUGCAUCAAAGUUUGAACUCUCAAGGGAGUUGCAGACUUAAUAACAGACUGCUGUAUCUUCAGUGAGUUGUGCUGCAGCUGCAAGUGGACAGAGGAGAGCAGGAGUUGCUCAUGUGUGUAUGUGUAUGUCUGAAAAGUCAAAAACAGAAACAAAACAGAGAAAUGGUUCUGAAGAUAUAAACAUUCAAGUAAAGGCGAAGAAUGUGGCGCAUGUCCACAAAUCAAAUAUGUGAAGUCUGAAAUAUAAAGAUCAUGGCGACAUACACAAAUAGAGGCUGUAAUUUAUGUAAGAAAUGUUCUGAAUUUAUCUAAAAUGGGAGGUAUAACGUCACAUAUCUUGACCCCAUAGUUUAACCAUUGCAUCACGUUUAAAGUAUUUGUGUGUGAUGUAAUCAGAGACACUUGCAUAAGUGAUGGAAAAUUCAAACAGCACCUAAACGCAUCACUGCUCCAGCUGCUCUGGAUGUCUCAGCAGGCUCAGAGGUGCCGAGGUAUCCCUGAGAGUGUGUAUGUGGAUUUGUGUGUGUGUGUGUGUGUGUGGAUUUGUGUGUGCAUAUUACCCUGUGAUAACCCUUAGUCUCACACACACACACACACUCGUACUGACACGGUGGUUCACACGUUACUGCAGGGCAUUGGAGAGAGAUAAGACACAGAGUCAUGCCUCCCCAGCGUGACAGUGACAUCACAGUUGUAUCUGUGUGUUCACUACCCCAGCACACACACACAUACACACACACACACCUCCCCCUGUGUGCUAGAAAGAGACCAGCCUAAUAUAGUCAGCAUGGAUCACACACACACACUUAGACACACUUCCUCACAGGGCCAGAAGCAAAGGGGAUAAGGUGGGGGGAUCCGCCUGUCAUAUUUCCAUCUCCUGUCCUUGGUUGGUUAUAAGCAUGUGUUCCUCCAGAGCCGAGUGUGUGUGUGUGUGUGUGUGUGUGUGCGUAUGUGGGUGUGUGUGAAUGGGAUGACGUCGCUGUUACGUCUGUUGGUGUCCAUCACUGGCUCAGAGUCCAGUCUUGGCAGAGACAGGUGCAUCCAUGGCUGCCUGUGUGUGUAUGUGCGUGCGUACGGGUUGGUUUUUGUAGCCUAUUUGGGACAUGUCCAGUGUUGGACUUUGCUGGGACUAAUUGUCCUCUAGGGGACCCACUCUGUCCUGGAAAGGCUUUCUCUGAUGUUCUGGCCCUGCUUCCUGUUUAAAGAUAUUGUGUGUAUAAGUCGGUGUGUUGCUGUAUCAGAUGGUUUUUGUUAACUUAUCGUCUCAGAGCUCUGCUUGUGGGGAUCUCGAACCUGUUUUUGGUGCAUCACAGGGACCAUUUCUAAAACAAAAACCCUUCGUAUGGGGACCACUACUUUUUGUAGUGACACACUUGUUAUAAAUGCUGCAAAAAGUUGUUUCUGAUGUUUUUGUUUCACCACCUAGUUUGUGUGUGUAUGUGGAAUCAUUUUUGUUACGUCACAGGGACCUUUUCUCAUAUAAAAGCCUUAUUUAUGGGGACUACUUUGUCUUGUAAUCACACAUCUGUUACAAACACUGCUAAGUGUAAAUCUCAUUUUGUUUUGUGUGUGUGUUUAUGUUUAUUAGAUUGUUCCUGCUGCCUUAUGGGGACCUUGACAAAUAUCAAAACACUACUUGUGGGGACCACUAUUUCUUUAGGACACAAGUUGGCUGCAAUUGCCUCAGAAUGUUAAAUUUGACGUUCCCAUGUUGCCUUAUUUUCGUCGAGUGUGUGUGUGUGUGUGUGUGUGUGUGUGUGUGUGUGUGUGUGUGUGUGUGUGUGUGUUUCUUUUGGUUGUUUUUAUGAACUUAUAAGGACCACUUUUUUUUUUAGGGACAACUUGUUACAAAAGUCUUUGCUGAUAUCUCAAUUUUGCUUCAUUUUGUUAGCCCGCAUGCUAACUUUGUGAGUUUAAUGUAUAUGUUUGUGAGAGUGCUUUGCUUGCAUCAGGGAGGCUUUGUUCAACAUUAAAACUCCACUAAUAGGAACCGCUGAAGUUAAAUCUGGCAAGCAAUAUGUGAUCAAUGUCAUGUUGUGUAGCAGCCAUUGCUGUGUUAGGGACUCCCUGAUGUUAGACAGCUACUGAUGAAGAUACCUUGUUGAAAAGAUCUAAACACAUUUUUAGAGUUAUUCAAUUAGAUAGCUUUCAGAGAGAUUGAGAAAAGAAAAGGCCUGACCUGCCCUAUAUUUUUGCCCAAAUGCCAGGUAAAUGCAUUCUUAAUCUACCUUGCUAGUCUCAUGAACCUGUUAACAACUGUGUCUAUCAUCACAGACUAGUUGCACCAGCAAAUAUAUUUUUUAUGUUAUUUUUUAUUUAGCUUAUACAUUUUUAAAUCAUUCAGUUGCUACCACAACUGAGUAAUUUUAACAAAGCUAAGCUUGUCAACAAACUCGCCAGCUGGUAAAAUAACGCGAUACAAGAUUGUUUCAUCAAUUUUCUGGUGAUCAAAAAUAAAUUGAAAUCAACAGGUCACUUAGUAAUUGGCUUUUUUUGUUGUGCAAAGUUAACAAGGUUCUUUUAAUUGCUACCAACACUGUUGUCACAAAUAAAACUGUACAAAAAGUAAACACUAAUCACUCCUGAGCGCAAAGUACGUUCAAAACACUGAGAUUUUGAAGUAGGUGCCACUGCAGCAAAGCUUGUAACAUUGGUUUAUAGUGGUGAAUCUGUCACAUAUGCUUAAAAAAGUCAUUUGUUCAGGUCCUGCUUUUUGGUAUUUAAGUGUAGGAUGUGUUUUGUCUCAUAAAGACGCUUACAUCCAUGCAGAAACAUUGUAUAUGUACAGAAUUAUGGUCCUUACGGGGACCUGCCCACUACAAUCAGUAACAGUGAAAUUUACACAAACACCCCCGCUGGCUGUCCUUUACAUUCUUUCUCUUUCCUGUUUGAAUUCUUCGACUUUAUCUCUUCAGAUUCUUCUCCUCUCUCUCUCUCUCUCUCUCUCUCUCUCUCUCUCUCUCUCUCUGUCACUAGCAGCUCUGGUCAGCCAUUAAACUCCCUCUUAAGCCAAACCAGCAGAAUUCCCAGGCUGCUCGGCUGCCCGGGUUCACACCUUUUUGUCCACAGGAAUCUCAGGAAUCCCCAGCUUCCUUUUCCACCGCAAUCUCCAUUGUGUGUGUGUGUGUGUGUGUGUAAAGCUAUAAGAAGCAAAGGCCCCCGCCUGUGUUGUGUGUGUGUGUGUGUGUGUGUGUGUGUGUGUGUGUGUGUGUGUGUGUGUGUGUGUGUGUGUGUGUGUGUGAAAACACAUCUCCGCCCUUGUACCCACCCAGUUUGUGUCCACAAUAGUGUGAGUCACACUCAAAAACGACAAAAAACUCUCUGUUACUGUGAAACUUUACACUCUCAGACAAACUUGAGUGGACAUUUAGGGUCACAGUGAAAUUGAAGAACACAGAUUUUGUAAAUGAACUUUUGAGUCAGUAAAUACAAACAUAUACAUAUAUAUAUUUUACGUUGACACCAUGUUUUUCUUAUAACAGGCAAAAGUUUCGGGAGGUAACAUUAGCUUGUUAGUACAGGCAUUAAAAGCGUGGGAUACAUCUUAACAAAGAAAUCCAUUAGAGGGAUUUGAGUGAAUGAAAUGGGAUUAGUUUUAUAAAAAUACAAUAUAGAAAUAUUUUUAAAACUGUCAAUGACAAACGGAGUAAUGUGAUCCUGAAAAAUUGUGUUUGCGUGAAAAAAAAAUGACACUUGUAUUACAAAAAUAAGCAUAAAAUGAGGCGUUUAUAGAAUAUGAACAUAUCAAUUAAAAUGAUGAAAGCUUAAUUGUCACUUUUGAUGGAUUUUAACUUGCAGCAGAAAGUGUUAAGGUUCAAUUAAUGAGGAAUACAAAUACGUACAAACUCUGACAUUUUUGUUAUGACAAUAAAUAUUUGAGAGUCAGUUUUUGAAAGUCAUAGUUAUGCUACAUCCAGCUCACUAGCAGCUACUGCUUCUUCAUCAUCUUAACUAUGUCUAAUGAUGUGGCAACCAGCAUGAAGGAGAGAGAGACAAUAUCAUAGUAGAGUGAUAUGAUAUGAUAUAGAACAAAACCCAUGGUCUAAGAUGAUGAUAACACCAAUCACACAAUGAUACAUCACAAAAUCUGAUGAGCCUGAUAACAAAACAUGUCCGAAAAAAAUGAAGUUCACGUUUAAUGCCGUUUGCGUCACCAUGACAAGUCAUAAAGUUAGAUGAAGUGAGUCAUUCCAACAUCUACACAAAGAUGUAUUGUUUUUAAAGUGUCCAUAUUUGACUUCAGUGAUACACAGACUAUAUAUUUUUCUUUCCCUUAUUUUCUGGUCUAAAAUUUGUAAAGGCAAUCCUGCAGCCCUGUUUUCUUAACAUGAAAUUACCCUCAUUGUCAAGCAAAAUAUAUGAAUCUUAGUUCCAGUGAGUCAUUGUUCCUGGCUAAGAGAGAGCAGCUGAGUAAAAAGAAUAAUCUGUCUGAUUUUGGCAGGGAGGAGUCAAAUGAACCAAAAUAGCUCCAGACAAAAAAUUAUUUGUUUUCAGAGUUCUCACAGAGAAACCUCUAAUGAGAGGUGAUACUACGCCCAUCCAGACAAGAGUCAGUGCUCUUACAGUGUGACGCCUGCAGGUUAACACUGCCGUUUGUCCGCACGUCUGGAGUCGUUUACCCUCGCCAGCCCUGACUCAUCCCCCACCGGAGCCCAGCCUGCUGUCGGGGCUCAGCAGCACCCAUUCAACACGAUGAGAAACAUUCAGAAAAACCAAACACCAACCGGACACACGACAGGCUGUGAUUCACACACACCCACUCAAUCUCCAUCCACACAUAAGCAGCCACAGAGGCGUACAGGUCCAUGUCUGAAAUGUUGUUGAAGAGGCCAGCCAGGAGGUGAUCUAAGACAGAGGUUUAAACAUAACAUCAGGAGGAAAGGGAUGGUUCUCAAAGUGAGAAACAAAAACAAAACAAAUAUCUGCUGCAAGUUUGGGACUUUCUCUUAUCUUUCUCAGGGGAAACACAAGUCAGUUUUUUAUUUACCCUUAUAACAACUAUCCAAACAAUCUAAUUGAAGUUGUUGUGAAAAUUUGCUUAAAACUUUUAUGACUUUUAGGCGUUUUAUGACAUGUAACCUUUAACAGACAGAUCUCACAAAAAGCUCAUAUAAAACAUAAAUGGGGAGAAAUACAACAGCUAAAAAGAAAGAGAAUUAAAAGGAAAAUACUCAUUAAAAGUUGCAUCAUAGUAAAAAAAAUUACCUCACUUUGAAAAUUUGUCUGAAACUACGAGGGUGAUGUAUUACUCAAGUAAAACAUUAGCAAAGAAAAGGGCGUUUUUCACUGUAAAGUAGGUCGUUGUAUAAAAAAUACUUUCUAUUUCACAAGUAGAGAAUACAAAGUAAAAUGUAUAACACUGAAAUGAAAAUGAAAGUAAGAGAUUUUCAAAGGAUUAAUAGAUAUUUAAAAGCUUCGAUGAAAAAGAAAAGAGGACUUCGAUGAAAAAAUUGAGCAUAAGAUAAAAGGUAAAGAAAUGAACAAGCAUGGAAAAUUAAGAUGUUAAAAUUCAAGAAAAAGAAGUCUGAAAAGUCAUGAAAAGAAAUUUAUAGUUGGCCGAUAUCAGUUUUAAUGGUUGGUGCCAAUAAUGAAAGAGCAGAUCAGCUGGUGUCUGAUAUAUUCUAUAUCACAUUGUUGUUGUUGUUGUUUUCCAUUUCCAACAAUUUAAUAAGUCUAACAAAUAGUAAACAAAAUCAUAGUUACAUUACAGUAUCUGUUAUUGAUGUGAUAUGAUGUGAUUUGAGAAAGAAAAUUAUCAUUUUGAAAAGAUUAUUGUUCCAUUGGUCUUGUAGUGUUGUUACUUCAAAAUGUUAUUAAUCAUACUAAUUAAUUAGCAGACUAAUUGAUCAGUCCAUCUCUAUUGUGUGUUUCAGUAUCAUCAGCAUGUAUCAGUAUGUUGCAAUCAGAAAUAAUUAGUGGGAGGUUGUCAAUGAAAACUGAAAAAAAGAAGUGGUUUUAAGGUGGAGACAUGAGGCACACCCCUCAGAUAAGCUAAUCAGAUUUUUGACUUUUCACAACAACACUUUGCUUUCUGUUGUGUAAAUAAGAAUCAAAUCAUGGCAAUGCAUGCUGGGAAAAAUGUAUAGUGCAAAGUUUGUCCAAAAGUAGAUAUUGGGCCACCAUCUGAAACAUGAACAACCCUCUGCUUUGUCUCCAAAAGUAUUAACCCAACUGUUUUGAGCAGCACAACAACUGCAGUGAGAGUCACUCCUUGUUUAGAUAUUGCUUCAUAUUCAGGCGCCUAAAACAUCGUCAACCUCUGACCCACAGAGAUUGUCUCGUAGGGUUAACAAUAUAGAAUCAAAGGGAGUCUGCAGUAUUUAGGUCGAAUAUUACUCAACCCUGUUCGUUACAUGACUCACUGAAGUUAUUUAAAUAGUUAUGAAUGGAGCCUGACAAAGCCGCUCCUCCCCUUGUAUGUGUGUGCAUGUUUGCACACCACAAUGUGUGUAACGGGAGCGUAGCAUGGGUGCAGCCCGGCUUUUGAUGAGUCACAUGUGGAUCCUCUGUGAGUAACUAACCAGCUAUGUGAGUCCUGAAGUUUCAGACCCACACAGAAAACCCCUGGUCUCAGAGGGAGGGGGAGGGGCAGGGCAGGGUGGGGCGGCUCUGGACUGUUGAUGGGUGUGGUCUGCAGGAGUGGUGAGGCAGAGAAUAGAUGUGGGGUAAAAUAGCAGGAUGUAGGUGAGGACCGGGAUCUGUGAGUGGAAGGUGGAGGACGGGAUGGUGAGGGCAGAGUAAGGUCAGGAUUAGGGGAAAGAGGUCAUCGCUCAGGGUCAAAAAAUGGUAAUGACUACAUUUUACCUCACCCUGUUAUCUCCCUCUAAAUCUGUUUUUUAAUUUGAGGAGUUUUGUGUCUGUACACUCAGGUACUUUCUUUGAAUAACUCUGGUCACUGCAGAAUAACAUGUUUAUCAGCUUCUGCAUAUCAGUCAGUUUUGGUAAAUUUUGGUACUUUCUCUUUCUGUGGUCACACUCAGCUCUCUGACUCCAGAGGUGUCAAAAGUCCAAACUUUCUUUACCUAUAAACAAAAACAAACUUUUACACAAAAACACAGUGGCAAAAAAGGUACUGUUUAACUUUUGGUUCAACAAAACUCACUGAUAAUGAAUUUGUCAAAGUAACUUUGCAAGUCUGAUAUUGUUUCUAACACUUACCUAAACAUAGAAGG